GUUAAUAGCAAAUCCGACUUCAUGGGGUCGGGUUGCAGACCCCAAUCUGAACUGGGGCCGGUUUUGGGGGUUUGCCGGGCCUCGCGGCCAAGCUUCCCUUUGUGCCGGCCAUUGUAGCACGUGUGCAGCCCCGGAUGUAAGGGCCAUACUGACUUGACGUCAUCCCCACCUUCCUCCCGUGUGAACGGGCAGUCUGUCCAGAGUUCCCGCCUUUGCGCGCUGGCAACUGGACACAGGGGUUGCGUUCGUUGCUGGACUUAACCAAACACCUCACGGCACGAACUGACGACAGCCAUGCAGCACCUGUGUGGCACCCUCGAAGGAGGCCUACUUUCAUAGGCCGUGCAGCCACAUGUCAAACCCGGGUAAGGUUCUUCGCGUUGCAUCGAAUUAAGCCACAUGCUCCUCUGCUUGUGCGGGCCCCCGUCAAUUUCUUUGAGUUUUAACCUUGCGGCCGUACUCCCCAGGCGGCACACUUAACGCGUUAGCUCCGGGACGGGGGGGGUGGAAAUCCCCCCACCCCAAGUGUGCACCGUUUAA
rnacentral:rRNA from 1 species